rnacentral:rRNA from 1 species
AGGGGAAGGGGCGAACGGGUGAGUAACACGAGGGCAAUCUGCCCUUCACUCUGGGACAAGCCCUGGAAACGGGGUCUAAUACCGGAUACUGACCCUCGCAGGCAUCUGCGAGGUUCGAAAGCUCCGGCGGUGAAGGAUGAGCCCGCGGCCUAUCAGCUUGUUGGUGAGGUAAUGGCUCACCAAGGCGACGACGGGUAGCCGGCCUGAGAGGGCGACCGGCCACACUGGGACUGAGACACGGCCCAGACUCCUACGGGAGGCAGCAGUGGGGAAUAUUGCACAAUGGGCGAAAGCCUGAUGCAGCGACGCCGCGUGAGGGAUGACGGCCUUCGGGUUGUAAACCUCUUUCAGCAGGGAAGAAGCGAAAGUGACGGUACCUGCAGAAGAAGCGCCGGCUAACUACGUGCCAGCAGCCGCGGUAAUACGUAGGGCGCAAGCGUUGUCCGGAAUUAUUGGGCGUAAAGAGCUCGUAGGCGGCUUGUCACGUCGGUUGUGAAAGCCCGGGGCUUAACCCCGGGUCUGCAGUCGAUACGGGCAGGCUAGAGUUCGGUAGGGGAGAUCGGAAUUCCUGGUGUAGCGGUGAAAUGCGCAGAUAUCAGGAGGAACACCGGUGGCGAAGGCGGAUCUCUGGGCCGAUACUGACGCUGAGGAGCGAAAGCGUGGGGAGCGAACAGGAUUAGAUACCCUGGUAGUCCACGCCGUAAACGGUGGGCACUAGGUGUGGGCAACAUUCCACGUUGUCCGUGCC